rnacentral:rRNA from 1 species
GAUGAACGCUGGCGGCGUGCCUAAUACAUGCAAGUCGAGCGAACAGACGAGGAGCUUGCUCCUCUGACGUUAGCGGCGGACGGGUGAGUAACACGUGGAUAACCUACCUAUAAGACUGGGAUAACUUCGGGAAACCGGAGCUAAUACCGGAUAAUAUAUUGAACCGCAUGGUUCAAUAGUGAAAGACGGUUUUGCUGUCACUUAUAGAUGGAUCCGCGCCGCAUUAGCUAGUUGGUAAGGUAACGGCUUACCAAGGCAACGAUGCGUAGCCGACCUGAGAGGGUGAUCGGCCACACUGGAAAUGAGACACGGUCCAGAAUCCUACGGGAGGCAGCAGUAGGGAAUCUUACGCAAUGGGCGAAAGCCUGACGGAGCAACGCCGCGUGAGUGAUGAAGGUCUUCGGAUCGUAAAACUCUGUUAUUAGGGAAGAACAAAUGUGUAAGUAACUAUGCACGUCUUGACGGUACCUAAUCAGAAAGCCACGGCUAACUACGUG